AUUGAACGCUGGCGGCAGGCCUAACACAUGCAAGUCGAACGAGUGGCGGACGGGUGAGUAAUGUUUGGGAAUCUGGCUUAUGGAGGGGGAUAACUACUGGAACCUGUAGCUAAUACCGCAUACCAUCGGAUGAGCCCAGAUGGGAUGAGGUAGUUGGUGGGGUAAAGGCUCACCAAGGCGACGAUCCCUAGCUGGUCUGAGAGGAUGACCAGCCACACUGGGACUGAGACACGGCCCAGACUCCUACGGGAGGCAGCAGUGGGGAAUAUUGCGCAAUGGACGAAAGCCGGAUCGAGCAACGCCGCGUGAGUGAAGAAGGUUUUCGGAUCGUAAAACUCUGUUGUCAGAGAAGCGGUAUCUAAACAGAAAGCACCGGCUAACUACGUGCCAGCAGCCGCGGUAAUUC
rnacentral:rRNA from 1 species